rnacentral:misc_RNA from 1 species
GAUGAAGAACGCAGCGAAAUGCGAUAAGUAGUGUGAAUUGCAGAAUUCAGUGAAUCAUCGAAUCUUUGAACGCACAUUGCGCCCCAUGGUAUUCCGUGGGGCAUGCCUGUUCGAGCGUCAUUUCAACCAUCAAGCCCCAGGCUUGCGUUGGAGCCCUGCGGCUGCCGCAGCCUCCUAAAAGCAGUGGCGGGCUCGCUAUCACACCGAGUGCAGUAGAUUACUCUUCGCUCAGGGCGUGCAGCGGGUUCCGGCCGUGAAACCCCCUACUUUUAAAGGUUGACCUCGGAUCAGGUAGGAAUACCCGCUGAACUUAAGCAUAUCAAUAACGGAGGA